rnacentral:rRNA from 1 species
CGCUGACAGAAUGCUUAACACAUGCAAGUCUACUUGAUCCUUCGGGUGAAGGUGGCGGACGGGUGAGUAACGCGUAAAGAACUUGCCUUACAGACUGGGACAACAUUUGGAAACGAAUGCUAAUACCGGAUAUUAUGACUGAGUCGCAUGAUUUGGUUAUGAAAGCUAUAUGCGCUGUGAGAGAGCUUUGCGUCCCAUUAGUUAGUUGGUGAGGUAACGGCUCACCAAGACGAUGAUGGGUAGCCGGCCUGAGAGGGUGAACGGCCACAAGGGGACUGAGACACGGCCCUUACUCCUACGGGAGGCAGCAGUGGGGAAUAUUGGACAAUGGACCAAAAGUCUGAUCCAGCAAUUCUGUGUGCACGAUGAAGUUUUUCGGAAUGUAAAGUGCUUUCAGUUGGGAAGAAGUCAGUGACGGUACCAACAGAAGAAGCGACGGCUAAAUACGUGCCAGCAGCCGCGGUAAUACGUAUGUCGCAAGCGUUAUCCGGAUUUAUUGGGCGUAAAGCGCGUCUAGGCGGUUUAGUAAGUCUGAUGUGAAAAUGCGGGGCUCAACCCCGUAUUGCGUUGGAAACUGCUAAACUAGAGUACUGGAGAGGUAGGCGGAACUACAAGUGUAGAGGUGAAAUUCGUAGAUAUUUGUAGGAAUGCCGAUGGGGAAGCCAGCCUACUGGACAGAUACUGACGCUAAAGCGCGAAAGCGUGGGUAGCAAACAGGAUUAGAUACCCUGGUAGUCCACGCCGUAAACGAUGAUUACUAGGUGUUGGGGGUCGAACCUCAGCGCCCAAGCUAACGCGAUAAGUAAUCCGCCUGGGGAGUACGUACGCAAGUAUGAAACUCAAAGGAAUUGACGGGGACCCGCACAAGCGGUGGAGCAUGUGGUUUAAUUCGACGCAACGCGAGGAACCUUACCAGCGUUUGACAUCCCAAGAAGUUAACAGAGAUGUUUUCGUGCCUCUUCGGAGGAACUUGGUGACAGGUGGUGCAUGGCUGUCGUCAGCUCGUGUCGUGAGAUGUUGGGUUAAGUCCCGCAACGAGCGCAACCCCUUUCGUAUGUUACCAUCAUUAAGUUGGGGACUCAUGCGAGACUGCCUGCGAUGAGCAGGAGGAAGGUGGGGAUGACGUCAAGUCAUCAUGCCCCUUAUACGCUGGGCUACACACGUGCUACAAUGGGUAGUACAGAGAGCUGCAAACCUGCGAGGGUAAGCUAAUCUCAUAAAACUAUUCUUAGUUCGGAUUGUACUCUGCAACUCGAGUACAUGAAGUUGGAAUCGCUAGUAAUCGCAAAUCAGCUAUGUUGCGGUGAAUACGUUCUCGGGUCUUGUACACACCGCCCGUCACACCACGAGAGUUGGUUGCACCUGAAGUAACAGGCCUAACCGUAAGGAGGGAUGUUCCGAGGGUGUGAUUAGCGAUUGGGGUGAAGUCGUAACAAGGUAUCCGUACGGGAACGUGCGGAUGGAUCACCUCCUUUCUAAGGAGAUCAUUUCUCUUUCUCUAUUCUAUUGAUAAUGUUCUURCAGCGUAUUAGCGCUGGAUAACUUAUCAAAUGGACAUUGGAAACUAUAUAGUAGAUAAUACAAUUUUAACUCUUGUUUAUAUAAACAGAGUUAGCUGUCAAUCAAAUUAAACAAAAACAAAAUAGGUUAAAAUAAUUAAGGGCACACAGGGAAUGCCUAGGUAGUAAGAGCCGAUGAAGGACGUGGUAAGCUGCGAUAAGCUUGGGUUAGCUGCAAACGAGCGCCAAUCCCAAGAUUUCCGAAUGGAGCAAUCUGCUAAGAUGGAGUCUUAGCACGAAAGAGGGUACCGAGUGAACUGAAACAUCUAAGUAACUCGAGGAAAAGAAAGUAAAAACGAUUCCCCAAGUAGCGGCGAGCGAACGGGGAUGAGCCUAAACCAUAUAAGUGUCAAGGAUACAGCCGUUGCUUAUAUGGGGUUGUGGGAAGAACGUUUGAAGAACUGUAAGAUAUUCAACAUAUCUAAUGACCGAACUGGAACUAGUUGGAAAGCUAGAUCGUAGAAGGUGAUAAUCCUGUACAGGUAAACUCAUUAGAAUGUAUGUUCUCUCCCAAGUAACAUGGAACACGAGGAAUUCUGUGUGAAUCUGCGAGGACCAUAUCUCGUAAGGCUAAAUACUCUUACUAACCGAUAGCGUAUAGUAC